rnacentral:rRNA from 1 species
GACGAACGCUGGCGGCGUGCUUAACACAUGCAAGUCGAACGGAAAGGCCCUGCUUUUGUGGGGUGCUCGAGUGGCGAACGGGUGAGUAACACGUGAGUAACCUGCCCUUGACUUUGGGAUAACUUCAGGAAACUGGGACUAAUACCGGAUAGGAGCUCCUGCUGCAUGGUGGGGGUUGGAAAGUUUCGGCGGUUGGGGAUGGACUCGCGGCUUAUCAGCUUGUUGGUGGGGUAGUGGCUUACCAAGGCUUUGACGGGUAGCCGGCCUGAGAGGGUGACCGGCCACAUUGGGACUGAGAUACGGCCCAGACUCCUACGGGAGGCAGCAGUGGGGAAUAUUGCACAAUGGGCGGAAGCCUGAUGCAGCGACGCCGCGUGCGGAAUGACGGCCUUCGGGUUGUAAACCGCUUUCGCCUGUGACGAAGCGUGAGUGACGGUAAUGGGUAAAGAAGCACCGGCUAACUACGUG